GUUGGGUGCUGUGGUGCAUACCUGUAAUCCCAGCCACUUGGGAGACUUGAGUCAGGAGGAUUGCAAGUUUGAGGCCAGUCUCAGCAAUUUAGCAAGAAGACCCUGUCUCAA
rnacentral:sRNA from 1 species